rnacentral:rRNA from 1 species
CACGGGGGGAGCAAGCGUUGUUCGGAAUCACUGGGCGUAAAGGGCGUGUAGGCGGUUCGGUAAGUGGAAUGUGAAAUCCCUCGGCUCACCCGAGGACCUGCAUCCCAAACUGCCGAGCUUGAGUAUGGGAGAGGAUGAGGGAAUUCCUGGUGUAGCGGUGAAAUGCGUAGAUAUUGGGAGGAACACCAGUGGCGAAGGCGGCUCACUGGACCGGAACUGACGCUGAGGCGCGAAAGCGUGGGGAGCAAACGGG